rnacentral:rRNA from 1 species
GGACGGGUGAGUAAUGCCUAGGAAUCUGCCUGGUAGUGGGGGAUAACGUUCGGAAACGGACGCUAAUACCGCAUACGUCCUACGGGAGAAAGCAGGGGACCUUCGGGCCUUGCGCUAUCAGAUGAGCCUAGGUCGGAUUAGCUAGUUGGUGAGGUAAUGGCUCACCAAGGCGACGAUCCGUAACUGGUCUGAGAGGAUGAUCAGUCACACUGGAACUGAGACACGGUCCAGACUCCUACGGGAGGCAGCAGUGGGGAAUAUUGGACAAUGGGCGAAAGCCUGAUCCAGCCAUGCCGCGUGUGUGAAGAAGGUCUUCGGAUUGUAAAGCACUUUAAGUUGGGAGGAAGGGUUGUAGAUUAAUACUCUGCAAUUUUGACGUUACCGACAGAAUAAGCACCGGCUAACUCUGUGCCAGCAGCCGCGGUAAUACAGAGGGUGCAAGCGUUAAUCGGAAUUACUGGGCGUAAAGCGCGCGUAGGUGGUUUGUUAAGUUGGAUGUGAAAUCCCCGGGCUCAACCUGGGAACUGCAUUCAAAACUGACUGACUAGAGUAUGGUAGAGGGUGGUGGAAUUUCCUGUGUAGCGGUGAAAUGCGUAGAUAUAGGAAGGAACACCAGUGGCGAAGGCGACCACCUGGACUAAUACUGACACUGAGGUGCGAAAGCGUGGGGAGCAAACAGGAUUAGAUACCCUGGUAGUCCACGCCGUAAACGAUGUCAACUAGCCGUUGGAAGCCUUGAGCUUUUAGUGGCGCAGCUAACGCAUUAAGUUGACCGCCUGGGGAGUACGGCCGCAAGGUUUAAAACUCAAUGAAUUGACGGGGGCCCGUGGAGCA